GGCCACCGGUGACGCCUCCCCAGCGACUCACGGCCCUGAGUGUUGACAUUUUUGUUGGAGAAGUCUCAUGCCUGGUCCCUGUGCUGGUCUGACUCAGUGCACUGUCCCCACAGGGAAGUCCCACCUGGCCAUCGUGCAGAAGGUGAACAACGAGGGCGAGGGCGACCCCUUCUAUGAGGUGCUGGGCCUGGUCACCCUGGAGGAUGUCAUCGAAGAGAUCAUCAAGUCCGAGAUCCUGGACGAGUCGGACACGUACACUGACAACCGAAGCCGGAAACGGGUGUCUGCAAAGAACAAGCGUGAUUUCUCCGCCUUCAAGGAUGCUGACAAUGAACUCAAAGUCAAGAUCUCUCCUCAGCUGCUUCUGGCUGCCCAUCGCUUCCUGGCCACAGAGGUGCCCCAGUUCAGUCCCUCUCUGAUAUCAGAGAAGAUUCUGCUGCGGUUGCUCAAGUACCCAGAUGUCAUCCAGGAGCUCAAGUUUGAUGAGCACAACAAGUACUACGCCCGCCACUACUUGUAUACCCGGAACAAGCCGGCCGACUACUUCAUCCUCAUCCUGCAGGGGAAGGUGGAGGUGGAGGCAGGCAAGGAGAACAUGAAGUUUGAGACAGGCGCCUUCUCCUACUAUGGGACCAUGGCCCUGUCCUGGGUCCCCUCUGUUCCUUCCACCCAGGCCGGGUGUCCGCUUGGCAAGCGGAACUCGCUGCUGUCCUGGCUCUCAGACCGCUCCCCAUCGCACCCCAUGCCCCUCAGCCGCUCAGCCUCCCUCAGUUACCCGGACCGCAGCACAGAUGCGUCCACCACGUCCACCCUGGCGGCUGGCAGCAACCAGUUUGGCAGCUCCAUCCUGGGCCAGUACAUCUCGGACUUCAGUGUCCGGGCACUCAUGGACCUGCAGUACAUUAAGAUCACGCGGCAGCAGUACCAGAACGGGCUGAUGGCCUCCCGCAUGGAGAACGGCCCACAGUUUCCGCUGGACGGGUGCACCACCUGCACGGAGAACUUCACCGAGAAGCCCGAGCUGCCCGUGGUGGACGAGACCACAACGCUGCUCAACGAGCGCAACUCCUUGCUGCACAGAGCCUCCCCGGACAGCGCCAUCUGA
rnacentral:lncRNA from 1 species